UCUCAUGGUACUGGCAUCUGCA
rnacentral:piRNA from 1 species